UACGGAGGGUGCAAGCGUUAUCCGGAUUCACUGGGUUUAAAGGGUGCGUAGGCGGCUUAUUAAGUCAGUGGUGAAAGCUCGCAGCUUAACUGUGAAACUGCCAUUGAAACUGAUAAGCUUGAAUCUGGUUGAAGUGGGCGGAAUACAACAUGUAGCGGUGAAAUGCUUAGAUAUGUUGUAGAACACCGAUUGCGAAGGCAGCUCACUAAACCAACAUUGACGCUGAGGCACGAAAGCGUGGGUAGCGAACAGG
rnacentral:rRNA from 1 species